GACUUGGCUUUGACCCUGGAACUCUGAGUAAACAGGAAAGCCGAAGUCUCAGCCUGCUGUUGGCUCCGUCCUCUGCCUGCAUAGAGGGAAGGUCAUUUGAGGACAAAAUGAGAAAAUGGUUGUCUGCAACCACAGGAAGAAAGUCCUCACCGAACACCAAUCCUGACAGCAACUUGAUCUUGGACUUCCAGCCUCCAGAGAGUGAGAACCUGAAUGACCUAAGGACCACUGGUCAAGUGUCAAGGACUGACAUGAGAUCCCUGUCUCUGGUUACAUAAACAUAGGCUACACAAUUUAGACACAUGUUUUAAAAAUGUGAACUCAAUUAUAAUGUUACCAUAACCACUAAAAUUUAAACAUUCUCAGCCAUUAAUUAAGCUAAACUAGGAAUUAUCCCUAGAGUUGAGCAGACUCCCCUAAAACCUUUUAACUUGGA